AUUGAACGCUGGCGGCAGGCCUAACACAUGCAAGUAGAACGAGUGGCGGACGGGUGAGUAAUGUCUGGGAAACUGACUGAUGGAGGGGGAUAACUACUGGACACGGUAGCUAAUACCGCAUCCCAUCGGAUGUGCCCAGAUGGGAUUAGCUAUUAGGUGGGGUAAAGGGUCACCUAGGCGACGAUCCCUAGCUGGUCUGAGAGGAUGACCAGCCAAACGGGAACUGAGAAACGGUCCAGACUCCGACGGGAGGCAGCAGUGGGGAAUAUUGCACAAUGGGCGCAAGCCUGAUGCAGCCAUGCCGCGUGUAUGAAGAAGGCCUUCGGGUUGUAAAGUACUUUCAGCGGGGAGGCGUUACCCGCAGAAGAAGCACCGGCUAACUCCGUGCCAGCAGCCGCGGUAAUUC
rnacentral:rRNA from 1 species